rnacentral:rRNA from 1 species
CCUAGUUGAUCCUACUAGUAGUCAUAUUCUUGUCUCAAAGAUUAAGCCAUGUGUGUCUAAGUAUGAACUAAUUGAGACUUUGAAACUGCAGAUGGCUCAUUAAAUCAGUUAUAGUUUUUCUUAUGGUACCAUAUUACUUUGAUAACCAUAGUAAUUCUAGAGCUAAUACAUGCACCAAGUCCUGACUCUUUGAAAGGGAUACAUUUUUUAGAUAAAAGGUCAAUGCAAGCUUGCCCGCUUCUUUGGUGAAUCAUGACAACUCGACGGAUCGCAUAUCCCUUGUGAUGGCGAUGCCUGAUUCAAAUUUCAGCCCUAUCAACUUUCAAUGGUAUGGUAGAGGCCUACCAUGGUGGUGAUGGAUGACAGAGAAUUAGGGUUUGAUUCCAAAGAGGGAGCUUGAGAAAUGACUACCACAUCCAAGGAAGGCUACAGGAGCGCAAAUUACCCAAUCCUGACAUGGGGGGGUAGUGACAAUAAAUAACAAUACUAGGCUCAUCGAGUCUAGUAAUUGGAAUGAGUACAAUAUAAACCCCUUAACAAGGAUCCAUUAGAGGGAAAGUAUGGUGCCAGCAGUCGUGGUAAUCCCAACUCCAAUAGAAUAUAUUGAACUUUUCACAGUUGAAAUGCUCGCAGUUUGAUCUUGGGUCGUAAAGGUUGGUCCACCUACUCGGUGUGCACCUGCCCUUCCAUCCCUUUUGUGGGCAGUGUGCUCCUUGCCUUAAUUAGAUAGGUCGUGGCUCCAACACUGUUACUUUGAAAAAUUAGAGUCCUUAAAGCAAGCUUAUGCUCUAAAUACAUUAGAAUGGAAUAAUGUGAUAGGAGUUUGGUCCUCUUGUGUUGGCCUUCGGGACUGGAGUAAUGAUCAAUAGGGACUGUCAGGGGCAUUUGUAUUUCAUUUUUAGAGGUGAAAUUCUUGGAUUUAUGAAAUACACACCAAUGUGAAAGAAUUUUCCAAGGAUGUAUUCAUUAAUCAAGAAUGAAAGUUGGGGGAUCGAAGAUGAUUAGAUGUUGUACUAGUCUCAACCAUAAAUGAUGUCGACCAGGGAUCAAUGGAUGUUGAUCUAAGGAAUCCACUAGUAACUUCUAAGAAAUCAAAGUUUUUGGGUUCCAGGGGGAGUAUGGUCACAAGGAUGAAACUUAAAGGAAUUAAUGGAUGGGCACCACAAGGAGUUUGGUGUUUGGCAGGAACAUUGUUGGUUGCUUGUCUUGAGGUCAUGCUUGUUUUUUAAUGUGUGCUUGCAAGCCAUGCUUGUGCUUGUCCCACCCAUAAUUUGUUUUUCUUGGCCCCAAUGAGUUUCUGUAGGGGGUUCGAAAGCUUGUUUCUUGGGAGACCUCUCUGACGAUCUAUUCUGUGGGGCAUUGCUCCUACAGUUGAAGUGCUUGGGAAAUACCACGGCAAUAUGUUGGAUAAAUCUAGACUCAUUCGUAUAGGCGAUGCUCAUUCCUUUGUUCAUUUGAAGGCAUGGUCCAAGGGUGUGGGCCUGAAUAGUUGGUUCUCUCAAAAAGGCAACGGUAGUUUAUGUG